AUUAGUGUAUCAUCAAAAUUUUGCCUUUGAAAGAAAAUGUUAAAGCAUGUAAAUGGAAGAAUGUGAAGAUAUCUCCCUGAGGUUCCUUCCCUUCCAGGGGACUUGUUGGUGUCAUAUUUUUACCUCUGAAAUCGGUUUUUCAUAGACAUCCUCUCCUAUGGAUUUCUCCUGGGCAAGAAUGGCAUCUCGGUGCAGGACCCGCAGCACUUUCUCUGGCUCCGCAGACCCGUAAUGAGCCUCCAGAACCUCAGGAAGAGAAGAUGGGCCAUCAAUGAAAAACGGCGGUUGCAAUGAAGCAACGGAUUUCACAGCUAAGACAAGAGCACUGCACUUCCUCCUCAUGCUUUCUGGUACACUCCACGCUCAGAGAAACUUCUCUAGUAACAAACUAUGAAAAUGGCUCCUCAAAGCAUAGAAUUUUACUUUAUUUUUCAAUGUUUUUCCAUCACCAGUUUGACAAUGGCAUUGGCCUAUGUUACCAUUGAGUUUAUUACAAUUGAUUUCUAUUGUUCAGGUUGUUAAAUUCCUACUGAGAAGCAUGAAAAAGAGUAAGAUGCACUUGAGGAGAUAAAGCAGACCUUUGAAGGGAAACCAAACAUCAAUUCAAGUUAUGACUUACAGACCAAAAAAGAUAUUCCAAGUUUUUGUGAAUUUUAAAAUAUGCUGUUUUGUGUGGAAAAAAUAAAUCCUGUUGGCAAACAA